rnacentral:rRNA from 1 species
AGCGAACGCUGGCGGCAGGCUUAACACAUGCAAGUCGAGCGCCCCGCAAGGGGAGCGGCAGACGGGUGAGUAACACGUGGGAACGUGCCUUUUGGUUCGGAACAACCCAGGGAAACUUGGGCUAAUACCGGAUAAGCCCUUACGGGGAAAGCUUUAUCGCCAAAAGAUCGGCCCGCGUCUGAUUAGCUAGUUGGUGGGGUAAUGGCCCACCAAGGCUACGAUCAGUAGCUGGUCUGAGAGGAUGAUCAGCCACAUUGGGACUGAGACACGGCCCAAACUCCUACGGGAGGCAGCAGUGGGGAAUAUUGGACAAUGGGGGCAACCCUGAUCCAGCCAUGCCGCGUGAGUGAUGAAGGCCUUAGGGUUGUAAAGCUCUUUUAGCAGGGAAGAUAAUGACGGUACCUGCAGAAAAAGCCCCGGCUAACUUCGUGCCAGCAGCCGCCGCCG